rnacentral:rRNA from 1 species
GAUCCUGGCUCAGGAUGAACGCUAGCGACAGGCUUAACACAUGCAAGUCGAGGGGCAGCAUAAAAGUAGCAAUACUUGGUGGCGACCGGCGCACGGGUGAGUAACGCGUAUGCAACCUACCUAUCAGAGGGGAAUAACCCGGCGAAAGUCGGACUAAUACCGCAUAAAACAGGGGCACCGCAUGGUGAUAUUUGUUAAAGAAAUUCGCUGAUAGAUGGGCAUGCGUUCCAUUAGGUAGUUGGUGAGGUAACGGCUCACCAAGCCGACGAUGGAUAGGGGAACUGAGAGGUUGGUCCCCCACACUGGUACUGAGACACGGACCAGACUCCUACGGGAGGCAGCAGUGAGGAAUAUUGGUCAAUGGGCGGGAGCCUGAACCAGCCAAGUCGCGUGAAGGAAGAAGGAUCUAUGGUUCGUAAACUUCUUUUGCAGGGGAAUAAAGUGCAGGACGUGUCCUGUUUUGUAUGUACCCUGAGAAUAAGGAUCGGCUAACUCCGUGCCAGCCGCAGC